AUGUCCCCUUCCAAGCACCAUAGCGCCUGCCCUAGCCGCCGCCCCAGCCCCCCGCCCCCACCCCACAGGCAUUGCACUCCGUCGCCGAUCCGCAUCCGCGCUGUCGUGACUUGCAAGACGGAGGUGGAAGCUGUGUUUGGCGGGCGACGAUGUUGGCGGACCAUCAUCGAGUCGGCGAUGCAUCAUGACAUCGACGAUCCAAAGGAGACAAGAAGGAUGCUACCAUCAUUCUCAAAGCCGCAACCGAUCAAGAGACGUGGAUUUGGCAUGCAUUUUUUGGGGUGCAUGGAUAUUGCAAUGACAUCAGUGUGUUUCAUCAGUCACCACUCUUUGCAAUGUUAG
rnacentral:rRNA from 1 species